rnacentral:sRNA from 1 species
GGCUUCCUGUGUGCUAAGCAGCUGCUCUAGCACAUAAGCUCUACAACCUAAACUGUUAAGUGUGGCUGGUUUUGAAGGCCCAAUUCCACACCUUCUCCAACAACAGACCUGGACCCUUUCCUUGACGCACAACGCCACCAAGCUCUGUUAGCACCAACAACCUGGAUCUCAAGGUUUACCACUCCACUAUUAGAGCCUCUUGCAAGAAGUCCACAAGCAGGCGCGUAUUCACUGUAGUGUUUUUAGUUCCUCCAUUAACACAUUCCUGUCAACCGCACCAGGUGGUACCCAUUGGUACCCAUUGGACAAGGAUGCUGCUUCCAAGAGUGGGGGACCCUUGAAGGCAGGUAGGUUUUCAGGUAAGUAAACGUGGAAGUCAUAGAGUUAAUAUGGUGAAUGCUAAUUACAUAAGAUCAGGACUGUAAGUGAAGACCAAUAGUUUCUGUUUGGUCUUCGUAGGUGAAGAACCUAAGCCCCAGGCUAGUAACUUAUACUUAGUUAUGUAUCUAGGAAGCAGCAGAGCCGUUCUGAAAUACCCUGCCCUAAAGAUGAUGAAUGGCUUUAUUUGGUCUGUGUAGCAUCUCCACUAGGCAUCCCCACAAGGGUCUCAUUUAAAAUUAUAAACAAGGACACCUUUCAUUGGGCCCUGGAGGGAUUAAAAUAAAAAGAUCACAAAGAUCUCUUUUAAAAGCCUCAGCCAUUCAUUUUGACUGCUUGCCAUCUACAAUAUGAGUUGCUGUAGUAGAAGUCACAGUGCUCAGGACUCACUUCCACUUUACCAGACAUAAACUUAUUGAAGACUUACGAGGCACUUGGUGCUUACAGUGUGCUGGUAUGUCAUUACAAACAGUUGUGAUCCUUCCAUGUGAGUUCACAGUUCACACCUCUAGCGAGAGCCGGAUGUGGAAGGGGAAGGACAAAGGCAAUUUCCCCCUGGGUGACAUCAUUAUUAAUCAUUUUAGGGCUUUAGUUUUCACUGUUAAGGCAAUGCAUUUUCAUUCUCCACGAUGGGCAUCCAUCUUGAUGGCUCGCAGUCUUCUUACUGCCCAAGCAGACGCAGUGUUAUCUGUACCCGUUGAAAAUUUGCACAGCUCUUGGUUUGCCCCUGACCAUCUUUUCCAAACCUCCUUGGCCCCACUAAGUUGGAUCUGUAGUAUUGAAAGUCAUGGAAGAAAAUAGGCUAGAAAUCAUGACAUGCCUCCUGACAGCAUAAGCCCCCACGUGGACAUCGGCUCUCCUUGGAGAAUCUGUUCCAGAAGGUAGAUCAAAUGCUGGAAGGAGGACUGGGUAGAUGGUCCAAUUGUUCAGAGGAUAAAUAAGGUCAUAAAUAAGACAUCCUUGAUGUCUUCCAUCUCAUGUUUCUAAGAUUUCCUGACCACAAGGUCUCUUCUGAGGUUGUUCAAGAUGAACAGCUGCUUCUGGGUAGCAUGGAUAGUGUUAUUCCAACUUUGGUCGGCUGUGCCGAAGAACUGCGUUUCCUCAGCCAGUAGGCCCGGUUUGGACCUCUGAUCUUCUUGUGUGGUUUGUAUAAUUAUGGUGAGAUUUUUAUCCUAUGGAGUCCAGGACUUUUCCUCAUUUCCUUUGCAACUUCUCCUUUUAAAGACAUGCAGGAGAUAAAAUUCUUUGCAACUCCUGAAGGAAGUGGAAUCCUUGCUUGGCAUGCACAUCACUGUUGUCUAUUGUAGCUGCUGUUUGAUCCAUGUACUCAAGCUCUAGUCUCUCCCCAGUCAAAAUUUAGAAACCUCACUAUGCCUCUCUUGGCCUCCUGAACAAGUCAGCGUUUGGGGACAUGGCAUGGUGACCUUUUAACCCACGAGAGCGCCCAUACCACUUCACUACCCCUCUAGGUUACAGCUUCUGAUUUAGCUUACUUCCUCUGUAGGGACCAUCCAAGAGAAUUAUUUCUUGCGUGAAAUUAUUUUUGGAGAUUCUCCAAAUCAACAAGUCCCUUCUCUACCCUCAAGGGCUCAGAGGGCUGUGGAUUUGCCAAAGUUAAUAAUAUUAAUCUGUCUAUCAUAUUAGAAAUUCAUUGUGUAGAGAAUAAAGAGCACUAUUCUAUCUAGGCCCACAACGUGUGGCAUUGUUUUCUUCUCUGCCAUAAUCCUGUGUAGUAUUUUGGGGGUACAUCCCUAAAUCCAAGGUUACCCCUUUCCUAGGGUCUUAAAUCUUAUGGUACCAGCAGUCAUAAAGAAGCAGGAGUCCGCUAUGUUCCUCAGUGUUUCUAGCCUUAAGGCCUUGCUGGCUGGAGUCCUGAGUCUUUCCAUGCCUGCUUUGUUAUAUAGAAUCCAGCUCUGUGGCCUCAGGAAAUGGCUAUUAGAAGACUAGUUCCUGCAAGUAUGCCUUUGGGAUCUUUGCCUUUUGUUAGUUCCUGAUCCAAUAAGUGAAAGUUAGAGGGUUAGCCCAGAGAAAGAGGCUGCUGCUGUGGUUCUGAAAACUGACAAGACAUUUCGUGAUGCCAACCUCCUUUAACCAAUGCCUAAAAGGACGUGAGGCAGGACAAUUCUCUGUUGUCUUCUACAGAUGAAGAGUUAAAAUAGAGUUUAAAAAUUCACUAAAGUCCAUGGAGCUAAUUUGUGGCCGAUUUGAUCCUACAGGUUUUGCUUUCUCAAGACAGUGGUGUCUAGCUGCUUGUUCAAGUUUUGGUAUUGUUAGCAUUAAAUUCACUCAUCAGUGCACUGUAGUGCCACACCUGCGGGGCUUUAGAUCUUGCUCACUGUAACAAACACUGGAAGGGACAUCGACUUGAUGCCUUCCUUGGACUUGUGAAUACCGGUAUACCAGUUUAAGAUCUAUUGUCCUGUCAGCUAGAGGAUAUGGGCUUUAUUAGGAUUGGUAAUAUGACAAUGUAGAAUUCUGUCCUUUGUAAAGGAGACUUUCAUGAAAUAGUGCUGGAAUCUGAAUCCUGCUUUAGUGAGCUUUGACUUACAGUUUCAUAAUUACAUGAACACAGACUGACAUUGUGUUUGCUUAAUAUCAUCGUUGGACAUGUUCAAAGCAUUAAAAUAAUUUCAAUGCUUACUUCACUUUAAAUAGUCUACUUUAGUACUUUUGCAUAGUGAUACUAACUUGUGUUAUUUAUUGAGUGCUGUCUACUAGCUAUAGACUCAAGUUAAAACAUUUCUAAAAUUUUUAGACUCUUGGAUUAUUAUUUGCAUCAUUUGACUUGUUGCUUACUAAUGUAUCAUUCAAAUUCAGAAUUCUUCCUAUUUCUUUUGUCAACAAACCUAGCACUGAUAAAAUUUUUUGUCUUGUAAAAUGGUUCAUUGUGCCUUUGUACAAAAUACCUUGUUUCUGGAUAUUAACUGACCUUUUGACAAAAUUCUUGAGUUAAGAUGUUGAGAUGAUCAAAUAAA